AUGUGCAAAAUAAAACCUAGCGAACAAAGGGUAUAUCAAAAUUCUCUUCUAUGGCAGUCAGGUGGGCCACAUUCUCCUCUCUUUUCAUCCUCUUUUCAGCCUAUCCUGCUACUGAGAAUGUCAACAUACAGCUCAGGGCAGAGCAGCAGGUAAUCCUAUCUGAUCCUUCACUUAGUGCAUUUUUUCCAGUAUCUUAAGACCCAUUUUCUUGCAUCCUCUCAGCAUCCCAGCAAUAUGUGUAUAACAAAUAGAGUGAAGAAAAAAGUGAGGAGGCCCGGGGAACGUCUGUCUUAGUCUCCUCCACGUUGAAACAACAGUGCUGCUUCAGAAAAGAUCCAGAGCUACAUAUUCAGGCACUGCAGGGCUGAGCAAGAUGGAUUUGGGUCUGGAUCUCCAAAGCACUGACAGGUAAAUUACAAAGGGCAGAAUCUUCAUUACUGGUGAUUUAGGAGGCUUAAAGAGACACAACUUGAUUUGUGGAUCCCAAGCGGAGUUUUCAAGGCUGACAAUUAAUAAUAUGAAAUCGACUUGUAAACUGAAUGAAUCUGACAUAGGGUCAUGGAGAGAAAAUUAAAUUUGGAAGCGCCAGUGCCAUUUUUCUAGUCACUUGUGAGAACACUAUGGGACUGUGCUUGCAGAUACCUUCCUACUUCUCUCCUGCUUCUGUGCUUCUCUCCUGCCCUCCCACCCCAAAAUUCAAACCUUUCUCUGGGGAUUUGAGUAUUUAACUUCUUAAUCUUGUAAUCUGAAGUAACAAGACAGUUGGGUGACAUUUUACAAGACGAAAACCAUUGAGUCAGCCUUCUAUAACUUCACAACUGUUAAAAUCCCCACAUGACUAAUCUCUAAUUCCCAGCAGUCUACUGCAAAUAAAAUCAUAUAUUGAGCUGUGCUACUUUAAUAUCCCAAAUAAAGCUCCCACACGACUUCCAGUUCGGCUCAGAGCUUGGUUAGCCUAAUACCAUGGUGAUGUUUAUACCGAUCACAGACUGCUUUAAAUAAAACGCUCCCCAUAAACGUUUGUGGGAGAUUAUAUUAAGAUAAACAGUCCAUAAAAUCUCUUUAAAAAUGCAGGGUGUCUGGCCUCCAGCAGAAUGGUAUUUAGCAAGAUUAAGCCACAACAGUACUUCUGAAAGUGUAUCUUUAGUUCUUCACAAACGAAGGACUAUUCUGAAAAAAAGAUUCCUCUGCCUAUGCUGAUUUUCAGCCCAAUCCUUUCCAAGUUAUAUCCAAAGGGCCCUUUGGGAAGUAGCUUGCUUGGUUUGUUCACCAGGCACAGGUUCCUGGGCCCAGGAGAUCUCAUUUGCUCCAAUUCCUUUCUAACUAGCAGGUUAUAUUAGGAGAUAUGAGACAUUUGUGUUCUCACAUAGUUUCUCCAUUAGGUUGCAAAGUGAUGGGGUGAUUUCUGAGUUGGCAAAUGAGAAGACAGCAAGAAUCAAACCUGUGCCUGUGCAAAGAAAAGAGGGGGCACAGUCCAUGCUUAUUUUUAAUGGCAUCUAACCCAGAGGCGGCCACGGCGCUAUUUCUGGGCAUCCUGCGUUUUGUAAGUCAUUGAAGUUCAGCUGUUCUGCACAGCACAGGAGCUUCUGCCUUGUGCAAAAGCAAAGCAUGGCUCCUCUGCUGGCUUUUGGAGGGACUGGCAGCACCUUGGGUAAGAGCUGAGGAGGGCUGGGGCUCUCCAGGCCCUUAGAUGAAGAGAGGUUUGGGGAUGGAUCCUGGCUGUCAGACCCAGAGGUGUUUGGGAGUGAAGCCCUGGCUGGGGGAGGCAGAGUGAGAAGUAGGAGGCUGGUACAUCCUACAUGAAGCUUGUGCUAUGUGGCUUGCCUGCUAGAUUAGGAAGGCUGGCCCUUUCUUUCAUUUGCCUUUCAAAGGGUACUAGAAAAAUGGUGGCAUAUUCAGUAAUGCAUAGUCUAUUUUAAAAAAUGUAUUACAUCUCUGCUAGAGGUUGUGUUUCACUUACACUCUGGUUUAAACACUUAGUAAAAACCUCAAGUGUUACCAAUUACUGUGCUGAGGAAGCUUCCAGCAUGCAGUCAGAGCUGCACUGGGUAUGACAUGAUGCCUUGCAUGUUUCUCUUCAUUUAGCAAAUGCUGUGACUUGAAGGAUAACCUGUGCCACUGUGGAUUUUCAUGGUAUUUUUAUUGUCUGAGGAGUGAAUUGCACAACGGGAGAUUUCUGAAGUGGUGUGUGAUGUACGGCCUCUGUGACUGCCAUCAGCAGUAUGUUCCCAUUAUCCGAGGUGGGAAAGGGAAAUGCAAAUGAAAUGUUUGUCUCCGUGGAAAGGGCUCUGAACUGCCUGAAUCAGAGGGGACAGGCUGCAGCUGCUUGCUGGAGAGCAUCCAGGUCAAAUGCAGGGCUCUCCUCUACCCGUGCAGUGGAGAGCACAAUCUGCCUUUUAACUUUCUGACUGUUGGUACAAAUUCACAGAGCCUGCUUACCAGCUGGCGACACAAAGGCAUGGAGCCUGCCCUGCCCGGAAGGGAGAACCUGCAUAAAAUUAAUUAAACUUGGCACCUAGCAGCAGAGAAGCCAAAAAGACACUGACUGUGAGUCCAACUCCCUCUCUGCUCCCCACUGUGGUCCCUUUGCAUCGGGCUGGUACAGGGGGACCACACAGCACUGCUCGCCAUGUGCAGCUGCUCUAACCUGCAGCAACGUUCUGCUGUGGAGCUGUCGGCCCAGCAGCUGUCAUGGUCUCUGCAUGGAUGACGACUUUUAUAAGGAGUGGAAAGAUGUCAGGGCUUUUGUCUAUGUGACCUGCCCCGCUGUGCAGACUGUAUAUAACCAAUGUGCAGUGCCAAGAUGCAGGUAAGAUUAUAAGCAUGCAGACACGUGCAAGCACUUUUAUUGGGUUAGUUACAAGAGGGAAUUUAUUUUUUAGGACAUAUGUUGAUUUCUGAUGACUGUUACACAUACCGGCUGACAGUGGGCUUUCACCUCCUGGUAACAGACAAGACUCCUGACCUAUCCAGGUGGCAGAAGGGUUUUUGUUCACUGCUCUUCUUGGGGAUGCUGCUUCAGCAUUUUGUCCUGGCAACCCACCUGAUUACAGUCCCCAGAGGGAAUUACUUUGCCUCCUGCAAGCUGUCUUGCCACAGCUCUGUAGACAAACAAGGCAGGCAGCAGGAAUAUAGCCUGGCCCCCAUUAGAGCUGGAGAAGAGCACACCUCAAAUCAGAUACUAAAGCCUUGGCAAUUAUCUCUGCCAUGUCACUGUUUUCCUGCAUAACAGGUACCAGCUUAAUGGCAAUUAUGAAAUGCUGAGAGAAAUGAGAAGUACCUGAAGAAAGAAAGGAAAAACUUCAAAGGCUGAAGUGGUGUAAACAUUUUCAUUCUAAUUUUGUGUCCUUUGGGCUUUUUAUUUUUAAUUUUUUCACUCACACAUUUUUCUGAGACCAUUUAUGUUGCCAGUGAAAAUCUCCUGACUUGCUCUUAUUCCUGGAAGUAAAUAUAGUCUGGUUGGAACAACACUGGCCAGAUAUUUCUAGUUAGAAGCUGAAUGGAAAAAGAAAAUUCUUAUAUAUAUAUAUAUAUAUGUAUAUGUAUAUAUAUAUAUGUGUGUGUGUGUGUGUAUAAAACAAGCUUUGUUGCAUGCUACCCUCUGGCUUUUUAGCAGCUAAAAUAGCUUAGAACAGGAAUAAAUUAUUUGGUGUGAAUAUGUUCUUGGAAGAACAGCAUCUUAAGGUUCCCUAAGAUCUGAAGAUACUUUAUAUAUGGUAGUUUUAUUACCUGUGCAUUUUGUGGCACAUCAGGAUUUUACGCCUGUGUGAUUCCAGUUCCUACGCUUAAAGAAGACAAUCAAAAUCUUGGCUCUCAUUUAGAGAGACUUCUAGCAGUGGCAGUUGCAACUGAAGUUUAGGGACCAAGUAUAUAUAUCUUACUGACUUCAUGCCGUAGUCACAAGAGUUGCAGGCUGUCCCCUGCAGCUCAGUGAGUUCAUGCAAAGAGUCACAUUUUCACCAUUACAUGAUGUUUUCCCUACCCUAGAGGGUAGGGACCCUGCACUUCACUGCUGCUUCAUUUCCCUCCAAAAAAACAAGGACUUCCCAUGGCUGGUUUUUGUUCUACAUUGUCCACAAAGCUUGUGAAGUUAAAUAAAGCCGCCAAGCUUCAUGCAUUUAUUUUGACUGAUUGAUCCUUGACUUCUGGAGUCAUGCUAUUUCAUAUCACUUUCAUAUGACUAUUUUUAAAAAGCAAGAUUCUAAUGCUGAUGGCUACAUAGCAGUGUUUGAGAACAUAAACUCAUCAACAGAAAAAAUGUGAAGACAAAUCUCCUUGGAAUUCAUAAUUAUUUAAAAAACUGUUCUGUUUCUAAGACAGUCUGAUGAGGAACUGAUUCACUAAUUUUGAAUGCUAAUGGCUGGCAAGUACUGGUGAGAAGGUUGGGUACGUGCUGCAAUGAAUCAGACAUGGCUGAGUUUAAUGCUGAUCAGAAUGACAAGUAUUUAUUUGAUAAUAUGUAUGAUAUAUAUAUUUUUUUAUGUGAUAUAUGUAUUUAAUACUAUCAGAAUAUAUCUAGAAAUGUUAAGGAAAGCUGCUGCACAUUUAGGUUUUACUGUAGGAAAACCUGUUAUGCUAUUGAGAAUCUUUUCAGCUAGUGAAGCGUGUGAGAUAUCUUCAUAGUGUCUAGCCAAGCUUGUAAAAUACUAUACAAGAGAGGUGAAGAUGGAGAAGAAGAAAUUAGUAUUGUACCUACAUUUCUUGGGGCAACUAAAUGGUGAGGUGAGACAUCUUUUUUUCUUGCCUGGGACUGUGUCUAGGCUAAGGCCUAUACAGCUCUGAGUUUCUGGUAUUUUUGAGUGCUGCUUUUAAAAAUUCUUUUUAGAACUUGCACAUGCUUUCACCUGAUACUUUUGCAAGCACACAGUGUCAAAGGCAUGUAAACUAAAGCUUCUUCAAGUUUUUUCUUUUUUUUUUUUCCUUUCUUAUUCUUGUAUUCUUUUUUUUUUCUUUUCUUUCCUUAUUGUUGUUGUUAUCGUUUUGCUUCAAAAUACCAGUAGAAAAUACCACAAGGAAAUCCCACCUUGUGAAGUCUGCUUCAACCCAUUUGCUGUUUCCAGAUAUGUUUGUAGAGGAACUACUAUGAAGCAUCUGAUCACAUCAAAGUGUGUUUUCUAGCAAUAUUAAUGCAAAGAAUCCCAAGCAGAGAUAAAUGUGCCUGCUUUUUGUGUUCAGAUUAAAAACAUGGACUAGCAGCCUCUCCACAAUAGACGACUCUUUUAUAUUUUUCCCACAUAUCUACGUUUCUCUGAAAUGUAGACAGCCAUACUUCCAAAUAUGCUUGAGGUAAGCAUUGUUAGAAGCAGUAACCUACCCAGGUGUGAAUGUGGUACGUACUGUACACAGGUUGCAUAGACUAGUUUAUCCUUAAUUUUAGGGUAAAUUUUGUAGUGUGGAAAGACAGUCUGAAGCAAUUCAUGGAGAAUUCAUUCUUGUGAUUGAUGAAUUUAACUAUCCUACUAUCCUUUACUUUAUCCUACUAUCUGGAAUAGGGCCUCAGUUGAGGGUCCCCCAAAUCUUCCAACACACAAAGAUUAGGUCAAGUGUGGGACCAAGGGGUGGAUACUCUUUGGGGUGCUCACUGUGGUAAGUCUGACAACUUAAGAGCAGAAAAAUAAUAUUUUUGGAAAAUCAAGUGCUCCUAAGGUUAGGAGGAUACAGAUGGUACACUAACAGAGCUUCCCAGGAAGAAGACUUGAGUGUGCAGUACUUCUUGCAAUCAGUUCUCUGCUCAAGAAGGGUCUUGGUGGGGAUGCCAUAUGUAGUGCAUUCUAUUAAAAGUAGGCCUGAUUAUUUAUCAUGGCGAUAGUGGAGAGGCAGUAAAAUGAGUUUAAAUAGAAGCUAUGUCAGUGGAUAUUCCUAUUUGGCUGCUGCUGCUACUGGAAGAAAGGUGGCUGAAAGAUAACACAGAUGGCACAGCAGCCUGUCAGCUACCUUUCUUCAUUAACUUAGACUGCAAUAAAACACAGCUUUUUAAAACAAAGUUCAAGUAGCCAGAGCCUCUCCAUGGAAAUUAAUUUCCUCUGGAAGCUAGUUUCACGUAACUCAUCACCUACUUCACUGAACAUUACUCAGCCCUGUCAGUAGUGACAGAAGUGCUUGACAGAGCUGCUGAAAACUGGGUCAUGUGGUGGAUAAAACAUAGCCUGCUUCCCCAGGCUGCUUUUAGUGUGGACCUCCUGAGACUGCAGUAAAUAAUAAAUACCUGCAGGCCACCGUGGGCACUUGGUGCAAUGUUGCAGAACUCAUCUUCUGUCCAUGAGAGGAGGAGGUCCUGUAAUAACAUAAACCUAUGAAGUAGGUGUUCACAAAGAAACUUUUGGCUGCCUGUUUAUUACUCUGAGCUGUUACUGUGCUGAUUUUUUUCCUGAUCAUGUGUAGGUGUGUACUCUUGCACGAUGCAGUUUCUACCCAUGUGGAUCUGUUUUCCAGCUCAGGGGCUUCUUUUGAGGGCUUUGCUGGUGUGGUGGUAGUAGCUGCUGGUUGUCUAUGCCUCACUGACCCCACUAACAAGAGGAGCAAUCGUGCGGUGAGGACACUGUUGCACUGCUCCUGGGUAAGCACUCAGCUAUGCAUGGAUAAAAGGAGGAGCUGUUUGGCUGUGAGAGCAGCAGUAGCUGCCAGAACAGCCAUUUCAUGUCUCUCCCAUAUGAAAAGAUUGUGGGCUACAUGGACGUUAAUGGCUUUAAGAACUCUUUAUUAAAAGUGCAAAGUGGUGUUGUUACAGGCUUUUAAAAAGUAAUGUAUUUUACUUGAAAAGCAGCCUUCAAAGGGCUAAAAAAAAAAAAAAGAAAAAAAAAAGAAAAUUGUGAUCUACUUUUUGUAGUAUAUAUGUGUUUGUUCCUUCCCCUUCACUUUCCCUCUCACUUUCCCUUCCUCUUUGCCAUUCCUCCUUCGAAAGGUUAGGUAUUUUCCCAGUUAUUGUUUAACAACUUGUUAUCCAGCCUCUAAAUGUUGGAUUUAAGCGCUUCCUCUCACUGGAAGAAGCAAGGCACUGAAUCAUUAACAAGGAUAUCUUUUAUGCUGAAUGUUUGUUAGUGAUUGAUGUUAAACAGCUGUUAAAUAUAUAUAUAUAUAUUCUCUACUGAAAUACUUAUCCUGCAAUUUUCCUCUGUAAAAGUAUUUUCAGACAACUCUAUCCACAUGCAUUUUUCUUUUUUCUGCGAGAGUUUAAGAAUUAAAAAUUCUUCUUAAGAAUUUUUACUCUUUACUACCUCAGCAUUCUGCUUGGAUGGCUUCAUAGUGAUAGGAGGCGACAUCUGCAUGGUCCCAAAGGUGAAGUUGUGCAUUAUGGCUGAGUCUUACAGAUGACAAAGGCUGUGAUCCUAUUGCAGUUUGUCCUCCCUACCCCUGCCCUCUCUCUCAGCUCUGCAUUCUUGUGUUGGCUCUGUAGCUUGUAAAACUUUUUACUGAGUCAACUUUGCUCCUAUCCUGGCAGAAAAGUCAGUUUCUCUUUGUGAGAUAAUUUGCAGCUGGAUCAGUGGCUUGUAUCUGUUCUUGGAGGCUCCUGACAAGCACCAGAGCUCGUGCAAGCUUCUCUUAUGCGUGAGAGAGUAAAGGGCACUUUGACUCACUUGAGAUCCCUAGGCAUGUUAAAAAAAAUUGGAAGAAAAAAGUACAAGAAAACACACUCAUGGAACUGCUGAGGUGACGUAACCAGGGAAACCCUGGAAUUGAAAACCUGUCCUCCUGUAAGUGCCUAGCAUGCUGUCAGAGACCCCCUACCUGCUCCAAGUGGGAAGAGCAGUUCAUUUCUUGUUUGUGGCUCUUGUGGAAGCAACUUGCAAAGCAUGAUGGUUCUGCAUGUAUACAUAUGCAAAGAGUAAAUCAGUCCCUGAUGUAGCCCUACAGGAGCAGUGUACGCUUUCAUGAAUGAUGAUCUGCCUCUUACAAGACUUGCCAACAGUAGUCAUGGCUGGACCCUGACUAUUUUGUGCCAGCAUAACAGAGAGAUCAUUUCAAACUGGACACGAAUGAAAGAAAAAUGGGUUGAUUUAGGAGUUCUCUGACACUCUAGAAGCAGAAGUUGUUCUUGCCUUUCACAUGUGAAUUUUUGCAGCUGGUUUGAAGUAUCCUCUUUCUUGACCUGUCAGUGCACAAAGGCUGGAAUGGAAAGAAAAAGUAGUAAGAAUUAACCUCCUUGUCAGUAUCGAUUAAAACUAUAGCCUGCUUUUCUUCCUACUCUGUGCUUUGCUUUUUAUGCAAUAUAAAUAAAAUAAUUAUAGAAUUAUAACUA